rnacentral:rRNA from 1 species
GACGAACGCUGGCGGCGUGCUUAACACAUGCAAGUCGAACGGUAAGGCCCUUCGGGGUACACGAGUGGCGAACGGGUGAGUAACACGUGGGUGAUCUGCCCUGCACUUCGGGAUAAGCCUAGGAAACUGGGUCUAAUACCGGAUAGGACCACUGCCUGCAUGGGUGGUGGUGGAAAGCUUUUGCGGGGUGGGAUGGGCCCGCGGCCUAUCAGCUUGUUGGUGGGGUGAUGGCCUACCAAGGCGACGACGGGUAGCCGGCCUGAGAGGGUGACCGGCCAACCUGGGACUGAGAGCCGGCCCAGACUCCUACGGGAGGCAGCAGUGGGGAAUAUUGCACAAUGGGCGCAAGCCUGAUGCAGCGACGCCGCGUGAGGGAUGACGGCCUUCGGGUUGUAAACCUCUUUCAGCACCGACGAAGCGCAAGUGACGGUAGGUGCAGAAGAAGGACCGGCCAACUACGUGCCAGCCGCCGCAGUAA